rnacentral:snRNA from 1 species
GAGUGAACACAGCUCUUUUAGAAGUCUAGCAGUUUUUCUGACUAUGAUUGGAAAGCCCAU